GAGGAAUAUUGGUCAAUGGGCGCGAGCCUGAACCAGCCAAGUAGCGUGCAGGAUGACGGCCCUAUGGGUUGUAAACUGCUUUUGUAUGGGGAUAAAGUCAAUCACGUGUGAUUGUUUGCAGGUACCAUACGAAUAAGGACCGGCUAAUUCCGUGCCAGCAGCCGCGGUAAUACGGAAGGUCCGGGCGUUAUCCGGAUUUAUUGGGUUUAAAGGGAGCGUAGGCCGGAGAUUAAGUGUGUUGUGAAAUGUAGACGCUCAACGUCUGACUUGCAGCGCAUACUGGUUUCCUUGAGUACGCACAACGUUGGCGGAAUUCGUCGUGUAGCGGUGAAGUGCUUAGAUAUGACGAAGAACUCCGAUUGCGAAGGCAGCUGACGGGAGCGCAACUGACGCUUAAGCUCGAAGGUGCGGGUAUCGAACAGGAUUAGAUACCCUGGUAGUCCGCACAGUAAACGAUGGAUGCCCGCUGUUGGUACCUGGUAUCAGCGGCUAAGCGAAAGCAUUAAGCAUCCCACCUGGGGAGUACGCCGGCAACGGUG
rnacentral:rRNA from 1 species